UAACUGCUCUUCUAGAAGUCCUGGGUUCAAAUCCCAUCACCUAAUGGCAGCUCGAAACUGUAACUACAAGAUCUGACGCUUUGACACUGACAUACAUGCAGGCAAAACACCAAUGCAUAUAAAGUAAAAACAAUAGACAAACCGAGUGUGACAUUGCUUGUCUUAAAUCAUAGUGCUCAGGAGGCAGAGGCCGGCAUAUGUGAGUGAAGCAUUAGGUUCUCGAGAUCACGAGACUGAUAGAGAAUCUUGUUUUAGUUCAUAGCAGCAGAACUCCACCAUUGAUGUGUAUUCAGACUUAAAACUCAAGACUGACCUGCUUCAUCAUCCAAGUGCUGAGAUUAUAGGCGGUUUUUGUUUGUUUUGUUUUUCAGAUUAAAAAAAAUUAUGUGUGCAUGAUAUAUGUGGAUGUGGACUCGUGUGUGGUGUUUGGGGUGCAAGUUGUUGGUUCUUUCCUACAACACUGUGGGUUGAGGUAAUCAAAUUUAGGUCAUGAGGCUUGUCACAAGCACCUUUACCUGAUGGCCAAUCUCCCUGGCUACGUUAAAAAAAAAAAAAAAAAAAAAGAGUUUCUGGCAGAGGUACAAAAUUGACUAUUCCAUAGUUUAAUAGUUUAGAGGAGCCGCUGGAAUCAGGCUACUCUGGUUUAUUUUGAGGGGGUGGGGUCUUAUUAUGUUGUCCAGGCUCAUUUAAAGAUCCUCGGCUCAAGUUAUCCUCCAUUUGAGUUUCCUAAGUAGCUUGGGUCUACAGAAGGUAUAUCACUGUAGUUGACUGAAUGUUGGUAUUUGUUUAGGGAUGGGGUCUCACUGUGUACCCCUGGCUGUUCUAGAAUUGGCUAUGUAGGACAGGCUGACCUUGAAAUCACAGAGACCUGUCUGACUGCCUCCCAAGUAAGUUGUUUGAAUCCAUAGUAUUCCCUGGAUUUGAAUUCUAAUUUGAUACUAUAAGACUUGUGUUGCUUUGAUGUCAUCAUCCACUAUUGGAGGUGAGACUGUCAAACGUAAAACAUUGUUAUCAGGAUUAGCUCGAUUGAUAGUAUGAAAAUACUUUAAAAAGAACGUUGAGGCAGGAGGAUUCCUACAAGGCCAGUAUGGCCUAUAUAGCAAGUUCUGGAUCUCCUGGGCUAUAUAGUGAAACCUUGUCUCAAACAAUCAAUCUAGAUUUGGUGGUGCAUGCCUGUAAUCCCAGAACCUUGGAGGCUAAGGUAGGAAGAUCAUGAAUUCCAGGCUAGAAUGAACUACAUAGUAAGACCUUAUCUCU
rnacentral:lncRNA from 1 species